GAUGAACGCUGGCGGCGUGCUUAACACAUGCAAGUCGAGCGAAAAGACGCUGCUUUUGUUGCUCGCUCGAUUGCCGAACGCGUGAGUAACACGUGAGUAUCCUGUCCUUGUCUUUGUGAUAACUUCAGGAAACUGCGGCUAAUACCGGAUAUGAUAUCCUGCACCGUGGUGGUGGUUGGAAAGUUUCGGCGGUUGGGGCUGGAUUGGCGGCUUAUCGGCUUGUUGGGGGGGUAGUGGCUUACCAAGGCUAUGACGGGUAGCCGGCCUGGGAGGGGGACCGGCGACAUUGGGACUGCGAUACGGACCAGACGGCUACGGGAGGCAGCAGUGGGGAAUCUUACACAGUGGGCGGAAGCGUGAUGCAGAAACGCCGCGUGCGGGAUGACGGCCUUCGGGUUGUAAACAGCUGUCGCAUGUGACGAAGCGUGAGUGACGGUAAUGGGUAAAGAAGCACCGGCUAACUACGUG
rnacentral:rRNA from 1 species